rnacentral:rRNA from 1 species
GACGUAGGGUGCGAGCGUUAUUCGGAUUUAUUGGGCGUAAAGCGUGCGUAGGCGGCCCGCCAAGUCCGGGGUGAAAUCUUUCGGCUUAACCGGAAAAUUGCCUUGGAUACUGGUGGUCUCGAGGGAGGUAGGGGCAUGUGGAACUUCCGGUGGAGCGGUGAAAUGUGUUGAUAUCGGAAGGAACGCCGGUGGCGAAAGCGACGUGCUGGACCGCUUCUGACGCUGAGGCGCGAAAGCCAGGGGAGCAAACGGG